AAUGAACGCUAGCGGCAGGCUUAAUACAUGCAAGUCGUGGGGCAGCAUGACUGUAGCAAUACAGUUGAUGGCGACCGGCAAACGGGUGCGGAACACGUACACAACCUUCCUUUAAGUGGGGAAUAGCCCAGGGAAACUUGGAUUAAUACCCCGUAACAUAUAGAAGUGGCAUCACUUUUAUAUUAUAUCUACGGCGCUUAGAGAUGGGUGUGCGGCUGAUUAGGUAGUUGGCGGGGUAACGGCCCACCAAGCCGACGAUCAGUAACUGGUGUGAGAGCACGACCAGUCACACGGGCACUGAGACACGGGCCCGACUCCUACGGGAGGAAGCAGUAAGGAAUAUUGGUCAAUGGACGAGAGUCUGAACCAGCCAAGUAGCGUGAAGGAUGACUGCCCUAUGGGUUGUAAACUUCUUUUGUUUGGGAAUAAAGUUAGGUACGUGUACCUAUUUGUAUGUACCAUUUGAAUAAGCAUCGGCUAAUUCCGUGCCAGCCGCCGCCGUAACAC
rnacentral:rRNA from 1 species